rnacentral:sRNA from 18 species
CUUACUCUGUGUUAAACACACACACUGGUCGACACAUAAUCCGGGGUGCCCAGAUAUUUUGGGUCGGUAUUACGGGACUGGUGGAGGUAUAAC